AUUGAACGCUGGCGGCAGGCCUAACACAUGCAAGUCGAGCGGAUGAAGGGAGCUUGCUCCUGGAUUCAGCGGCGGACGGGUGAGUAAUGCCUAGGAAUCUGCCUGGUAGUGGGGGAUAACGUCCGGAAACGGGCGCUAAUACCGCAUACGUCCUGAGGGAGAAAGUGGGGGAUCUUCGGACCUCACGCUAUCAGAUGAGCCUAGGUCGGAUUAGCUAGUUGGUGGGGUAAAGGCCUACCAAGGCGACGAUCCGUAACUGGUCUGAGAGGAUGAUCAGUCACACUGGAACUGAGACACGGUCCAGACUCCUACGGGAGGCAGCAGUGGGGAAUAUUGGACAGUGGGCGAAAGCCUGAUCCAGCCAUGCCGCGUGUGUGAAGAAGGUCUUCGGAUUGUAAAGCACUUUAAGUUGGGAGGAAGGGCAGUAAGUUAAUACCUUGCUGUUUGGACGUUACCAACAGAAUAAGCACCGGCGAACUUCGU
rnacentral:rRNA from 1 species